AUUGAACGCUGGCGGCAUGCUUUACACAUGCAAGUCGAACGGUAACAGGCCGCAAGGUGCUGACGAGUGGCGAACGGGUGAGUAAUGCAUCGGAACGUGCCCAGUCGUGGGGGAUAACGCAGCGAAAGCUGCGCUAAUACCGCAUACGAUCUAUGGAUGAAAGCGGGGGACCGUAAGGCCUCGCGCGAUUGGAGCGGCCGAUGUCAGAUUAGGUAGUUGGUGGGGUAAAGGCUCACCAAGCCAACGAUCUGUAGCUGGUCUGAGAGGGCGACCAGCCACACGGGGACUGAGACACGGCCCAGACUCCUACGGGAGGCAGCAGUGGGGAAUUUUGGACAAUGGGCGCAAGCCUGAUCCAGCAAUGCCGCGUGCAGGAAGAAGGCCUUCGGGUUGUAAACUGCUUUUGUACGGAACGAAAAGGCUCUGGUUAAUACCUGGGGCUCAUGACGGUACCGUAAGAAUAAGCACCGGCUAACUACGUGCCAGCCGCCGCAGUAACAC
rnacentral:rRNA from 1 species